UGGUUAUUUGACCGUCCCCGACCGCCCGUUCAAACGAUGGCGGCCUUCAUAGACGAGCAUCGCGCGGAAUAUAGGGUCGAGCCGAUUUGCAGGGUUCUGCCAUUUGCCCCA
rfam:Sphingomonas sp. SKA58 scf_1100007010441 genomic scaffold, whole genome shotgun sequence.